rnacentral:rRNA from 1 species
UGGGGAAUUUUGGACAAUGGGGGCAACCCUGAUCCAGCAAUGCCGCGUGUGUGAAGAAGGCCUUCGGGUUGUAAAGCACUUUUGUCCGGAAAGAAAACGCCGUGGUUAAUACCCGUGGCGGAUGACGGUACCGGAAGAAUAAGCACCGGCUAACUACGUGCCAGCAGCCGCGGUAAUACGUAGGGUGCAAGCGUUAAUCGGAAUUACUGGGCGUAAAGCGUGCGCAGGCGGUCCGCUAAGACAGAUGUGAAAUCCCCGGGCUUAACCUGGGAACUGCAUUUGUGACUGGUGGGCUAGAGUAUGGCAGAGGGGGGUAGAAUUCCACGUGUAGCAGUGAAAUGCGUAGAGAUGUGGAGGAAUACCGAUGGCGAAGGCAGCCCCCUGGGCCAAUACUGACGCUCAUGCACGAAAGCGUGGGGAGCAAACAGGAUUAGAUACCCUGGUAGUCCACGCCCUAAACGAUGUCAACUAGUUGUCGGGUCUUCAUUGACUUGGUAACGUAGCUAACGCGUGAAGUUGACCGCCUGGGGAGUACGGUCGCAAGAUUAAAACUUAAAUGAAUUGACGGGGUCAUAGCUGUUUCC